GAGGCCAGACCCGGUGGGGACGAGACCCGGGGCCUGCUAUGCAAAUGUUCCCGGUGCUGCUGCUCCUGUCUGGUGCGGGAAUCAGGCCGGCGGAGGCCAACAGCAGGAAGGGCCCGGCCGCGUGGCCUUGGCAGGCAAGCAUCUUCCUGGAUGCCCGCUACCGCUGCGAGGGGGCCCUCAUCUCCCAAGAGUGGGUGCUCGCAGGAGCCAGCUGCUUUGGCAGCGGGCCUCGGUCCCAGUUCAGAGUGACCCUGGGCCCAGACCGCCUGGUGCUGGACAGUUGCAAGAGCAUUUCCCGUGUGGAGGAGCUGCUCCUGUCCCCAGGAGGGAGUGAGGGCUCUGUGUCCGGUGGCCUGGCCCUGGCUCGACUGGCAAGGCCACCACCUCUCAGCAGCGCCGUGCAGCCGGUCCCUCUGGCCACCCGGCCCCAACCUUUCCUCCCGCGGCUGCUCUGCUGGGCCCAAGGGUUUGAGGCUGAUAUCGAUCCCUACAUCCCACCCCGAGAGCUGCACAGUGUCCCGCUGAGACCACUGCAUAUCCACACCUGCAAAGAUGCCUUUCGCCUCCACCCUGACUGUCCUGACCCGGAGGCCAGCCUGCCUGAGGGCUCCCAGUGCACCAAGCCCCCCACCGGCCCCUCUGAACUGGUGGUGUCUGAUGGGAGCCCCCUGGUCUGCUUCCAAGCUAACAGCUGGCUGCUACAGGGGGUGAUCACCUGGGGUCCCUGCUGGGGGCCUGGCCUCCCAGAAGUCUACAGGCCUGUGCAUCCCUUCAUUUCCUGGAUCAGAGAUAAGGUCUCUAAUGCCACUUUUCCCACCCUGGCCAAGAAGCGUCCUUGGGCCCGGCCUGGGACCAGACAGAGGAGGCAGUGAGGAUCUUUAGCCUGUGAAGUCCUGGGUUUGAACCCUGAUCCAGCUACUUACCUGCCGCUGUGACUGUUCCCAGCAAACUCCCCUCUCGGGAUCUGCUUCCUCUUGGAGUAAUUGAGAUGUAUUCACAAUUAUUCCUUCAUCCAACAAUGUUACCAGUGCUUCCUAUGUGCCAGGCAACCAGAACACAGGAUCAGUGGGGCCCCUGGUCUCAGGCAACAGGCGGGCUUGUCUAGAGGAGGGGAGGCAAGCAAUAGCCCGAGUCAUGGCAGUAAUAAAUGUGCAAAUACAAACCACAGUGGGUGCUAAGAAGGAUCGGAUUGCUGUGUUAACAGAAACCAUGACCUACGCAGGACGGCCAGGGAGUCACUGUUAUUUGAACAGUAACCAGGCAGAGCCAUGGGUUCUGGCUCACACUUCCCCCUACGGCCAGAUGACUGCGAUGCCAGGUGCUGCCCCUCCGUGGCCCUCAGUUUCCCCCCUUCACACUGAGGAGCCUUGGCUUGGACUAAAGUUUUAUGGAGGUCCCUCCCAAGUUUGUUUACACAACUUCUUGGGGGGGGCGAGGACCUCAAAAGCCCCAAAGGGGCAUUCCCUUGACCUGACGCUGGGCGCUGCUGGGCCCCAGCUGGAGACUCUCCAGAACCCGGGCGGCCCCGAGCCUCGUCUGACUCGCGGCCUUCGAGCGUUGCCUGCGACACGCGACACGCGGUGGUCGCGCAUCAGGAUCCCUCCUCCGCACGCCCUGGCCGCCAUCCUCCAGGUAGCGCCACAGCGACAUCUCGUGGCGGAGAGCAUCUGCACCACUUGGCUCCUGGCCCGCCUGAGUCAGGGCGGGCCUCUGCGCUUCGGGGCGGGCAGCGCCGAGGCCGAGUGGAUACACACUCCCUGCGGGUGUAACCGGAUCGGACGGCGGGGCUGGAUUCUACACAACGGGCCCACGCUCCCGCCCAGCCUGCGUGGACGGUCCCGGCUCCCCCGGAGAGGGGUGGGACUGCCGAGCCCCUCCCCCCAAAACCCCGCCCCUCGCACCAGCAGCCGCUGACUGCGCCUGCGUACUGUCUCACAUACGCUCGCCUCCGCGAAGGUGCCGCUCCCAAGAAACGUGUCCCACGCGCCACGCCGUCUGUUUCCAGGGCAACCCGGCGCCUCUUAGCAACCCCGAGCGCAGCCUGGGUCGUUUCCAGGCGCCCCCAGCCUGCCAUGGCGGCCGCGGGUCCCAGCGUCUUCCUACUCAUGGUCAACGGGCAGGUGGAGAGCGCCCAGCUCGCAGUCAGAUGGGGUUGGCAGAAAUAAACACGGGCAAUCAGAGCUUUGACGGAAGGAAGGACCAGGGGCUGGCAGCGCGAGGCGGUGGCCCUUGAAACAGCCUGGAGGUUAGGGCAGGCUCUCUGGAAGUUUCCUGAGUAUGAUGAUCUCUACUGCAAAUACUGCUUUGUGUAUGGCCAGGACUGGGCCCCCACGGCGGAAGCGUCGGGGUGAAAUCGGUGACAUCCGAGGGGCCGGCCGGCCAGAGCCGGUUCCUCGGGCUGGCGAGGGGAGAACUUGCGCCCAGUUGGCUCCAGGCCGUCAAGCUCGAACGAAAUAAAACCCGGAGAGACCUAGGAGCUGCUCCGUGACCUCGCAGACCCUGUUGUUGGGAAGUUAGCAUGGUCUGGAGGAGGGCAUCUCACAGAUCACAUCCAAGAGCCAAGACGUGCGGCAGGCGCUGGUGUGGAACUUCCCCAUCGACGUCACCUUUAAAAGCACCAACCCCUACGGCUGGCCACAGAUCGUGCUCAGUGUGUAUGGA